rnacentral:rRNA from 1 species
AGCGAACGCUGGCGGCAGGCUUAACACAUGCAAGUCGAACGGUCCUUCGGGAUAGUGGCGGACGGGUGAGUAACACGUGGGAACGUACCCUUAGGUUCGGAACAACACAGGGAAACUUGUGCUAAUACCGGAUAAGCCCUUCGGGGGAAAGAUUUAUCGCCUUUGGAGCGGCCCGCGUCUGAUUAGCUUGUUGGUGAGGUAAUGGCUCACCAAGGCUACGAUCAGUAGCUGGUCUGAGAGGAUGGCCAGCCACACUGGGACUGAGACACGGCCCAGACUCCUACGGGAGGCAGCAGUGGGGAAUCUUGCGCAAUGGGCGAAAGCCUGACGCAGCCAUGCCGCGUGGAUGAUGAAGGUCUUAGGAUUGUAAAAUCCUUUCACCGGGGACGAUAAUGACGGUACCCGGAGAAGAAGCCCCGGCUAACUUCGUGCCAGCCGCCGCUGUAAUAC